ensembl:lncRNA
CUGUCACAGUCAUCAUAUGGAGGAGACCAAGCCAAGUCCCCUCCAGUUCCCUGAAUAAGAGGUGAUGACUACUCCACUCCACUACCUUUGUUAACUUUCUCCUGACAUGAACUGAAGCCACUUCUCAUGUGCCCGCUAAUCCACUGGCACAUUGAAUGUUUACCCUCCAUGCACUUCAAAUCCUGUCCUGCACUGGUCAAGCCACUGAACACCUCAACUCAUUCCUCAUACCCUCAUUCAAUCACUGCGUGAUCUCUUUCCCACACGGUGGUAUCUGCCGGUUCUGGCUCCAUGGCAUCAGUCAGACCGAGGCUCCUGCGGUGGACAAUUGGUUCCUGCGUGCGGAGGAAAUCUGGGAGGCCGCCCACGUCCACCUUCAGCGCGCCAUACUGUGCCAGAAAGUUAGCGCAGACCGUCACCGCAGUGAAGCCCCGGUGUUCGCACCAGGGGACAGGGUCUGGCUCUCGACCCGAAACCUGCCCCUCCGCCUGCCCUGCCGGGAGCUGGGUACGCGGUUUGUGGGGCCGUUUAAAGUCCUGAGGAGAGUGAACGAGGACCUGAGCCCUAGGACCAUGCCUCAGGACUACCUGACAUGAUGGCUCCUUGCUGGUCCCAGUCCACCUGGUCGUGCUGCUGCUCCAGUUUCAACUGUUCUGCCUUAUUAUUAUUGGACCAUGCUGGUAAUUUAUGAACAGGAAGCAUCUUGGCCAUGUUCUGUUAUAAUCUCCACCCAGCACAGCCAGAAGAGGACUGGCCACCCCACAUAGCCUGGUUCCUCUCUAGGUUUCUUCCUGUUUGGGGUUUUAGGCUGGGUUUCUGUACAGCACUUUGAGAUAUCAGCUGAUGUACGAAGGGCUAUAUAAAUAAAUUUGAUUUGAUUUGAUGGACCAACACACAUGGGUAAGAUUAUUUACUUCAGAAAUAGAGUGCAUCCCAAAGGGCUCAGGUCAAAAGUAGUGC